UAGGGAAUCUUCGGCAAUGGACGAAAGUCUGACCGAGCAACGCCGCGUGAGUGAAGAAGGUUUUCGGAUCGUAAAACUCUGUUGUUAGAGAAGAACAAGGACGUUAGUAACUGAACGUCCCCUGACGGUAUCUAACCAGAAAGCCACGGCUAACUACGUGCCAGCAGCCGCGGUAAUACGUAGGUGGCAAGCGUUGUCCGGAUUUAUUGGGCGUAAAGCGAGCGCAGGCGGUGUCUUAAGUCUGAUGUGAAAGCCCCCGGCUCAACCGGGGAGGGUCAUUGGAAACUGGGAGACUAGAGUGCAGAAGAGGAGAGUGGAAUUCCAUGUGUAGCGGUGAAAUGCGUAGAUAUAUGGAGGAACACCAGUGGAGAAGGCGGCUCUCUGGUCUGUAACUGACGCUGAGGCUCGAAAGCGUGGGGAGCAAACAGG
rnacentral:rRNA from 1 species